AUACGGAGGGUACGAGCGUUGUUCGGAAUUACUGGGCGUAAAGCGCGUGUAGGCGGCCGUAAAAGUCGGGUGUGAGAUCCCGGGGCUCAACCCCGGAACUGCACCCGAAACUAUAUGGCUAGAGUCCCGGAGGGGGUGGCGGAAUUUCCGGUGUAGAGGUGAAAUUCGUAGAUAUCGGAAGGAACACCAGUGGCGAAGGCGGCCACCUGGACGGUGACUGACGCUGAGAUGCGAAAGCGUGGGGAGCAAACAGGAUUAGAUACCCCGGUAGUCC
rnacentral:rRNA from 1 species